rnacentral:rRNA from 1 species
AGAGUUUGAUCAUGGCUCAGAUUGAACGCUGGCGGCAGGCCUAACACAUGCAAGUCGAGCGGUAGCACAGAGAGCUUGCUCUCGGGUGACGAGCGGCGGACGGGUGAGUAAUGUCUGGGAAACUGCCUGAUGGAGGGGGAUAACUACUGGAAACGGUAGCUAAUACCGCAUAAUGUCGCAAGACCAAAGUGGGGGACCUUCGGGCCUCAUGCCAUCAGAUGUGCCCAGAUGGGAUUAGCUAGUAGGUGGGGUAACGGCUCACCUAGGCGACGAUCCCUAGCUGGUCUGAGAGGAUGACCAGCCACACUGGAACUGAGACACGGUCCAGACUCCUACGGGAGGCAGCAGUGGGGAAUAUUGCACAAUGGGCGCAAGCCUGAUGCAGCCAUGCCGCGUGUGUGAAGAAGGCCUUCGGGUUGUAAAGCACUUUCAGCGGGGAGGAAGGCGGUGAGGUUAAUAACCUCAUCGAUUGACGUUACCCGCAGAAGAAGCACCGGCUAACUCCGUGCCAGCAGCCGCGGUAAUACGGAGGGUGCAAGCGUUAAUCGGAAUUACUGGGCGUAAAGCGCACGCAGGCGGUCUGUCAAGUCGGAUGUGAAAUCCCCGGGCUCAACCUGGGAACUGCAUUCGAAACUGGCAGGCUAGAGUCUUGUAGAGGGGGGUAGAAUUCCAGGUGUAGCGGUGAAAUGCGUAGAGAUCUGGAGGAAUACCGGUGGCGAAGGCGGCCCCCUGGACAAAGACUGACGCUCAGGUGCGAAAGCGUGGGGAGCAAACAGGAUUAGAUACCCUGGUAGUCCACGCCGUAAACGAUGUCGAUUUGGAGGUUGUGCCCUUGAGGCGUGGCUUCCGGAGCUAACGCGUUAAAUCGACCGCCUGGGGAGUACGGCCGCAAGGUUAAAACUCAAAUGAAUUGACGGGGGCCCGCACAAGCGGUGGAGCAUGUGGUUUAAUUCGAUGCAACGCGAAGAACCUUACCUGGUCUUGACAUCCACAGAACUUAGCAGAGAUGCUUUGGUGCCUUCGGGAACUGUGAGACAGGUGCUGCAUGGCUGUCGUCAGCUCGUGUUGUGAAAUGUUGGGUUAAGUCCCGCAACGAGCGCAACCCUUAUCCUUUGUUGCCAGCGGUCCGGCCGGGAACUCAAAGGAGACUGCCAGUGAUAAACUGGAGGAAGGUGGGGAUGACGUCAAGUCAUCAUGGCCCUUACGACCAGGGCUACACACGUGCUACAAUGGCAUAUACAAAGAGAAGCGACCUCGCGAGAGCAAGCGGACCUCAUAAAGUAUGUCGUAGUCCGGAUUGGAGUCUGCAACUCGACUCCAUGAAGUCGGAAUCGCUAGUAAUCGUAGAUCAGAAUGCUACGGUGAAUACGUUCCCGGGCCUUGUACACACCGCCCGUCACACCAUGGGAGUGGGUUGCAAAAGAAGUAGGUAGCUUAACCUUCGGGAGGGCGCUUACCACUUUGUGAUUCAUGACUGGGGUGAAGUCGUAACAAGGUAACCGUAGGGGAACCUGCGGUUG